rnacentral:rRNA from 3 species
GGGUAGUUUGACUGGGGCGGUCUCCUCCUAAAGAGUAACGGAGGAGCACGAAGGUUGGCUAAUCCUGGUCGGACAUCAGGAGGUUAGUGCAAUGGCAUAAGCCAGCUUGACUGCGAGCGUGACGGCGCGAGCAGGUGCGAAAGCAGGUCAUAGUGAUCCGGUGGUUCUGAAUGGAAGGGCCAUCGCUCAACGGAUAAAAGGUACUCCGGGGAUAACAGGCUGAUACCGCCCAAGAGUUCAUAUCGACGGCGGUGUUUGGCACCUCGAUGUCGGCUCAUCACAUCCUGGGGCUGAAGUAGGUCCCAAGGGUAUGGCUGUUCGCCAUUUAAAGUGGUACGCGAGCUGGGUUUAGAACGUCGUGAGACAGUUCGGUCCCUAUCUGCCGUGGGCGCUGGAGAACUGAGGGGGGCUGCUCCUAGUACGAGAGGACCGGAGUGGACGCAUCACUGGUGUUCGGGUUGUCAUGCCAAUGGCACUGCCCGGUAGCUAAAUGCGGAAGAGAUAAGUGCUGAAAGCAUCUAAGCACGAAACUUGCCCCGAGAUGAGUUCUCCCUGACCCUUUAAGGGUCCUGAAGGAACGUUGAAGACGACGACGUUGAUAGGCCGGGUGUGUAAGCGCAGCGAUGCGUUGAGCUAACCGGUACUAAUGAACCGUGAGG